GGCCACUGAAGAGUAGGUCUUGAGACCAUCGGGACCAAAUUAAUGGUGAGCCUAUUAAAGAAAUAGAAAAAUUCAGUCACUAUGAGGAUUAUUUUUCACAAAAAGAAAUCAAUAUAAUUCUGAUGGAAAAUGUUAUGACAGGAUAAAAAAAAAAGUAUGUAAGUACUGAUCUCGGUCACCACCAUGCUCAAGAUGAGGAAUAAAUGCCUCUGGCACAAGCAUCAAAAUCCAUAGGAGACAGGAUUCAAGGUUUCCAUUGGAGAGAGCCUUUAUUCACAACCAAUCAAGUUUCUUCUGGGGGAUAGCAUCCCAAAGGACCAGAGCUUCAAACGGUUCUAUUCUCUGCUGCAUUAUAUGUUCUUCUACACACUUCCUGAUCAAUAGUUCCUGGCCACCCCAACUCCCCUCGUAAUAGUCCCGAAGAACCCAUAGAAGCAAUUCCUCAGUGAAGCCUCUGAGCCUAAAGCUGUGCUGACUGCAUGGUCAUAACCCUGGUUAAGUUGCAUAAAUGUGACAUCAACAUGAAAACAAAUGAGUUGAAUAUUCAAGACAGUAUGGAAUUGGGCAUAAUAUCUACA